AACAGGAUUAGAUACCCUGGUAGUCCACGCCCUAAACGAUGUCUACUAGUUGUUGGUGGAGUAAAAUCCAUUAGUAACGCAGCUAACGCGUGAAGUAGACCGCCUGGGGAGUACGGUCGCAAGAUUAAAACUCAAAUGAAUUGACGGGGGCCCGCACAAGCGGUGGAUUAUGUGGAUUAAUUCGAUGCAACGCGAAAAACCUUACCUGGCCUUGACAUGCCACUAACGAAGCAGAGAUGCAUUAGGUGCUCGAAAGAGAAAGUGGACACAGGUGCUGCAUGGCUGUCGUCAGCUCGUGUCGUGAGAUGUUGGGUUAAGUCCCGCAACGAGCGCAACCCUUGUCGUUAAUUGCCAUCAUUUAGUUGGGCACUUUAACGAGACUGCCGGUGACAAACCGGAGGAAGGUGGGGAUGACGUCAAGUCCUCAUGGCCCUUAUGGCCAGGGCUUCACACGUAAUACAAUGGUCGGUACAGAGGGUUGCCAACCCGCGAGGGGGAGCCAAUCCCAGAAAGCCGAUCGUAGUCCGGAUUGCAGUCUGCAACUCGACUGCAUGAAGUCGGAAUCGCUAGUAAUCGCGGAUCAGCAUGUCGCGGUGAAUACGUUCCCGGGCCUUGUACACACCGCCCGUCACACCAUGGGAGUGGGUUUCACCAGAAGUAGGUAGUCUAACCGCAAGGGGGACGCUUACCACGGUGGGAUUCAUGACUGGGGUGAAGUCGUAACAAGGUAACC
rnacentral:rRNA from 1 species